UUAGUUAUUUUCUCAGUCUGUUGGGCGCUUUCGAGAGAGGUUUCUUCACAAUCGCGACUAGUGGUUUAUGAUCAGUGACAACAUUCACUGAGUGGCCGAAGGUAUAGU